rnacentral:tRNA from 1 species
GCUGGCGUGGUGAAAUGGCAGACACGCGGCGCUUAGGACGCCGUGCCUUCGGGCGUGGAGGUUCGACUCCUCUCGCCAGCA